rnacentral:rRNA from 1 species
AAGCAUUUAUCAAAGUUAAAAACUCCGGUGGUAUAAGAUGGGCAUGCGUGACAUUAGCUAGAUGGUGAGGUAACGGCUUACCAUGGCACUGGUGUCUAGGGGUUCUGAGAGGAUGAUCCCCCACACUGGUACUGAGACACGGACCAGACUCCUACGGGUGGCAGCAGUGAGGAAUAUUGGGCAAUGGAGGCAACUCUGACCCAGCCAUGCCGCGUGUAGGAUGACUGCCUUAUGGGUUGUAAACUACUUUUAUAUAGGACGAACCCUGUUACUUGUAACAGAUUGACGGUACUAUAUGAAUAAGGAUCGGCUAACUCCGUGCCAGCAGCCGCGGUAAUACGGAGGAUCCAAGCGUUAUCCGGAUUUAUUGGGUUUAAAGGGUGCGUAGGCGGUUUAUUUAGUCAGUGGUGAAAUCUUUCGGCUCAACCGAGAAAUUGCCAUUGAUACUGGUAGACUUGAGUAUACGUGACGUGGGCGGAAUUUGACAAGUAGCGGUGAAAUGCAUAGAUAUGUCAAGGAACUCCAAUUGCGAAGGCAGCUCACGAAAGUAUAACUGACGCUGAUGCACGAAAGCGUGGGUAGCGAACAGGAUUAGAUACCCUGGUAGUCCACGCCGUAAACGAUGAUCACUGGUUGUUUGCCGGAACAGGUAAGCGACUGAGCGAAAGUAUUAAGUGAUCCACCUGGGGAGUACGUUGGCAACAAUGAAACUCAAAGGAAUUGACGGGGGCCCGCACAAGCGGAGGAACAUGUGGUUUAAUUCGAUGAUACGCGAGGAACCUUACCCGGGCUUAAAUGUAGAUUGCAUGAUUUAGAGAUAGAUCUUUCCUUCACGGGACCAUCUACAAGGUGCUGCAUGGUUGUCGUCAGCUCGUGCCGUGAGGUGUCGGGUUAAGUCCCAUAACGAGCGCAACCCCUGUCGUUAGUUGCCAUCAGAUAAUGCUGGGCACUCUAGCGAGACUGCCGCCGCAAGGCGAGAGGAAGGUGGGGAUGACGUCAAAUCAGCACGGCCCUUACGUCCGGGGCUACACACGUGUUACAAUGGUAGGUACAGAGGGCAGCUACACUGCGAAGUGAUGCCAAUCUCGAAAGCCUAUCUCAGUUCGGAUCGUAGUCUGUAACCCGACUACGUGAAGCUGGAUUCGCUAGUAAUCGCAUAUCAGCCAUGAUGCGGUGAAUACGUUCCCGGGCCUUGUACACACCGCCCGUCAAACCAUGGAAGUCGGGGGUACCUGAAGUCUGUUACCGCAAGGAACGGCCUAGGGUAAAUCUGAUAACUGGGGUUAAGUCGUAACAAGGUA